CAAUGGGCUGCCCAUGGGCAUA
rnacentral:siRNA from 1 species